UACGUAGGAGACGAGCGUUGUCCGGAGUUACUGGGCGUAAAGGGUGCGCAGGUGGCGGCGCGCGUGGGGGGUGAAAUCGCCCGGCUUAACUGGGCGGGGGCCUUCCAGACGGCGUGGCUUGAGCAGCGGAGGGGGACGUGGAAUUCCGGGUGGAGCGGUGAAAUGCGCAGAUAUCAGGAGGAACACCAAUGGCGAAGGCAGCUCGCUGGGACGGUACUGACGCUGAGACGCGAAAGCGUGGGGAGCAAACAGG
rnacentral:rRNA from 1 species